rnacentral:lncRNA from 1 species
UCCCCCCCUCCCCCUCCAUCCCGCCCUCCCUGUCACUCCGCCUACCUCCUCCUCUAGAGGAGACGCUGCUCCAGUUGGGAGCAGGAUGGCUGCUACCUGGGGCGCUGGCCAGCACUUUCUUUUCGUGGGCCGAACCUCCAUUCGUUCCAGGAUCACCUGGCUCAGGUCGGGUCAAAGUCCCCUCAGGUUUUUCUGAACCACCAGGAAAACGGAGUCUCUAGUUGACCUCCAGACAUCCUUAGUCCUUCUCCCUUCUCUCCACUCUUUCUAGCCUGGAAUCUCGUUUCCCGGUGGACCAUCCUUCACCAAGGUUGUCCUGCCUGCCUAAUGUUUCCUCUUCACUUCCCAAUUAGGACCUAGGGAGAGUUGGAUAUCCAGGUGCAAAGUUUCUUGGUCCCUGCACCAAAC